rnacentral:rRNA from 1 species
UAGGGAAUAUUAGUAAUGGGCGAAAGCCUGAACUAGCAACGCCGCGUGUGCGAAGAAGGCCUUCGGGUUGUAAAGCACUUUUUGAGAGGAUGAGGAAGGACGGUACUCUCAGAAUAAGUCUCGGCUAACUACGUGCCAGCAACCGCGGUAACACGUAGGAGGCGAACGUUAUCCGGAUUUACUGGGCGUAAAGCGCGUGUAGGUGGUUUGGUAAGUAGGGCGUGAAAGCUCCUGGCUCAACUGGGAGAGGCCGUUCUAAACUGCCGAACUAGAGGAUGGUAGAGGGAGGUGGAAUUCCGGGUGUAGCGGUGGAAUGCGCAGAUAUCCGGAGGAACACCAGUGGCGAAAGCGGCCUCCUGGACCACUCCUGACACUCAGACGCGAAAGCUAGGGUAGCAAACGGG